rnacentral:rRNA from 1 species
UAGGGAUCUUCCACAAUGGACGAAAGUCUGAUGGAGCAACGCCGCGUGAGUGAAGAAGGGUUUCGGCUCGUAAAGCUCUGUUGGUAGUGAAGAAAGAUAGAGGUAGUAACUGGCCUUUAUUUGACGGUAAUUACUUAGAAAGUCACGGCUAACUACGUGCC